rnacentral:rRNA from 1 species
AGCAGCCGCGGUAAUUCCAGCUCCAAUAGCGUAUAUUAAAGUUGUUGCAGUUAAAAAGCUCGUAGUUGAAUUUCGGGGUUCUACCGUUGGUCGGGCAAUAGUCUGUACUGGCGUGUGGAAUUUCUACCUUCUGGGGAACCAUCAUGUUAUUAAUUUAGCGUGAUGGGAAACCAGGACCUUUACCUUGAAAAAAUUGAGUGUUCAAAGCAGGCUUACGUCUGAAUACAUUAGCAUGGAAUAAUAAAAUAGGACGGUGGUCCUGUUUUGUUGGUUUCUGAAUCACCGUAAUGAUUAAUAGGGAUAGUUGGGGCAUUAGUAUUCAAUU